rnacentral:rRNA from 1 species
GACGUAGGGCGCGAGCGUUGUCCGGAUUUAUUGGGCGUAAAGCGCUCGCAGGCGGCCCGAUGCGUCGUGCGUGAAACACCCCGGCUCAACUGGGGAGGGUCGUGCGAUACGGUCGGGCUUGAGGCCAGUAGGGGGGAUGCGGAAUUCCGGGUGUAGUGGUGGAAUGCGUAGAGAUCCGGAGGAACACCAGCGGCGAAGGCGGCAUCCUGACUGGUACUGACGCUCAUGAGUCGAAAGCCGAUGGGGAGCGUAGGACCGCGGAAUUCGAAUGGAAA